CUGCUCCCGUAUCCUGCCAGUACCGCGCUCUGUGUGCAAAUGUAGCCUUUUAAAAAGGCUACUUUGCUGAGCCCUUGUCUCUAUUCCUAACUGGAUCUUCUAUACUCAAUUGUCUUCAUCUGUGGAAAUGUUAUGAGGGCUUAUGUGUCUGUAUCCAAGCCCCUUUUGUCACCUUUUUUUCAUCCAUACUGAAUUCCAAACUCUCUGCUAAGAACAGAAGCACUGACUUUCGUGACUGUCUCUGUUGCAGACUCCUUCCCUAGUGACAUGCGUGGAGCUCUUGGUACUGUCAGAAGAGGUGGGAUUGUCAUGACCUGGCAAGGCAAGG